CGGCGGACGGGUGAGUAACGCGUGGGUAACCUGCCUCAUACAGGGGGAUAACAGUUAGAAAUGACUGCUAAUACCGCAUAAGCGCACGGGACUGCAUGGUCCAGUGUGAAAAACCGAGGUGGUAUGAGAUGGACCCGCGUCAGAUUAGCUGGUUGGCGGGGUAACGGCCCACCAAGGCGACGAUCAGUAGCCGACCUGAGAGGGUGGCCGGCCACAUUGGGACUGAGACACGGCCCAAACUCCUACGGAAGGCAGCAG
rnacentral:rRNA from 1 species